GAUGAAGAACGUAGCGAAAUGCGAUAACUAAUGUGAAUUGCAGAAUUCAGUGAAUCAUCGAGUCUUUGAACGCACAUUGCGCCCCCUGGUAUUCCGGGGGGCAUGCCUGUUCGAGCGUCAUUGCUGCCCUCAAGCACGGCUUGUGUGUUGGGCUCCGUCCCCCCGGGGACGGGCCCGAAAGGCAGCGGCGGCACCGAGUCCGGUCCUCGAGCGUAUGGGGCUUUGUCACCCGCUCUGUAGGCCCGGCCGGCGCCAGCCGACAACCCAUCAUCCUUUUCAGGUUGACCUCGGAUCAGGUAGGGAUACCCGCUGAACUUAAGCAUAUCAAUAAGCGGAGGA
rnacentral:misc_RNA from 1 species